UGUUGUGAGAUCUUUCUUUCUUAUUGUUUACAUGUCCAUGUCUACUGGAAGCUGCACCAUCUUAUUGUUUACAUUUCAAUAUCUACUCGAAGCUGCACCAAUAUCAAGCAACCCUGGUCACUAAAAACGGGUCCGAGAAAAACAAAUGGUUGCCAUCUUGUCAAAAUCAUCAAAUGACCGAUCGCUAAAACAUCUUGUGAAAAGUGACGUGAUGUUCCAACACAAAGCCCCCCCUCCUAAAUGAAUCCAACCGAAACCAACUAAUGUAAAUCAAAACACACUAACUACUCAAGGCCCAAUAAGUGGAGUGAAACACAUCAAUAAUGUGGUAAAGUGAUCUUACGGAACUCUCCUCAAGAAAACUUUUAAUAUUCCGAGAGGAGACUAUAUUACUGAUAGCAUGGCCUGCACUGCAUGGUAUCAUAGAUUGAUAUAAUACUGUAGAUGGUAUAUAAGGGCAAGCAAGGCAGCGGUAAACGUGUUUAGAAAAAAAAAAAGAAAAUAAAGAAGAGGAACUCGAAGAAAAGAGUAUGAAUAACCUAAUAACAAAAGGCAGCGACAGCCAACUGACCCAAAAGAACGCGAACCUUGAUGAUUCUUUAGCAUACAUAAAAUAUGACAAUCUAGGGCUAAUUUUAUCAGUAACUGGUCUGUUGGCUACUAUAUUGCUACUGAUAGUUGUCGUGCGAUGUUGCUAUUUCAACUAUCGCUAUCAGAAAGACGUGAAAAACCGCAUGGAGUUGGAAGACAAGAUGAUUUCAAAGUUUGGAAUGAGGGAUUUUUAUUAAAGAAGGUUGAUGUAGCACGACACAAACACUGCAACAAGGACAACAAAACAGCUUGGUGUGGCUGAUGCUUGCACUUAGGUCAUAGCUGAAAUCGAAAGGAGUGGAGCGGAACGGUAAAUUGCUCAAUUGUCUCCCCUGACGAUUCGGACGUGGUUCAAGCGUUAUGUCAAGUUUAGAAGAGAGAUGCACAAUAAAGAGGACAAACGAUUUGAUAUUUGACACGGGGAGUAGCUGAUUUAAAAAAAAUCGAGCUACACGCAGGCCCUUAAAAAAUCGAGGAAGCAAAGGCUGGCAGAAAAAUCACCACAUCCUUCGGGAAAAAAUCUCAAAUGGUCUGUCUCUUACCACUAUGAACAAUUAAUGAUGUCGUAGCAAUAACAUUUAUUAGAGGUUUGGUGAUUACGCCCAAAACAAUGGUACGCACUAGACAGACAUAUUCUAUUGUCAUAAUUUAUUGGCAGUGAAUUGGUAAAGUAAUUAAAAAAAAUAAACAGGGGCGGAUCCAGGAUCUCCAAAAUGGACAGAUUUAUUGUUCUACCGCCGAUCACCCUUUUUUUUUAUCUUGUUAUGAAAAUAGUGGUGCCGGGACCCGGUCCCACCCCUAGAUCCGCCCAUGGUAUGUCAUGGUAUGUCAAGGGCGGAUCUACGGGUGGGACGACCUACCCUAUUUUCAGAUAUUUAGAUUAUGAUAAGCAGUAGGAGAGUCGGGCAGCUACAAGAACACAUGUAAUACUAAAGAAUCUUAUUUGAAAAAUAGUAAAUAUAUAACAAAAUUAAAUAUUUGAAAUCAUAAA